rnacentral:lncRNA from 1 species
AACAGCUGCCCCCUCACCCCCAAAUCUAACACUAAGGUUGACUUUGCACACCUAAACCUACUUCAGCCUAACUGUGCGGAGACGGCCUCACUGCCUCACUUGCCUCACGAGCCUCAGAUGUAAGUUUACGUACUCUUCUCUAGCCUUUCAGAUGGGGCUUGAAGGCACCAACCUACUGCUGCCAUGACAGUAAACCAAGCAGGCUCACUAUCCACAGGGACAGUGACGCUCUCACGGGGGAAUCUGGGAGCCGUCAUCUUCCAGGUUCCCCUGGAUUGGACUAAUAUAAAAAUACCCCAGAGACAGUAUGAUUCAAACCAUUACCCUGAAAGAACUAGUCAGCCCUUUGAUUUUAUAACAAGUUUAUGAAAUUUUAAUCCCCUCAGAACAAAACAGUCUUGUGGUUACUAUCAAAAGUCCCGGCAGAGUGUAGUGAUUUAACCUAACCCCUGAGCUUCACCUGCACACUGAAGUCUUAGUUCUGUAAGCCACGCUUUACAGGGUAUAUAAUACACGAUGGACGCGACACUAGGGAGUGCUUCUCUGUAAUUCCUAUGUCAACAGAAAAAAAAUUCCCUUAGUUUUACAGACAGUAGGAUCAGUUUAUAAUUCUACUACAGGGCAGUUUUUAAAAGUUCUGACAUUUGCUUAGAAUAUCUUACAUUGGCUGAUAAAUAAUAGCGUUCUAAACCAUGGAAACUUAUGAUGAAGACGUGUAAACUCUCACACAUUAGAGCAUCUUGGGAUCAGCACAAGUCAGUGUCCAUGAAAUGGCAGCUGCAGUGGUCCACUGCAAGGGAAGAGUCGAUAACACACCCUUCCGGUAUCUUCUCAGUGAGCACAGCAAGUGUAAAAACCAUGUAAACCCGUUACCCUUGCGAUGACAGUUCCAUUCCAACAUUCAUAUUUACAAGUUUGUUUUUUUUAAAAAAAAUAUACAUGGAAUUCAUGUUAAAGUAUGUUGAAGUUUAAAAGACGGGUAGACUGCAGAGCCUCUGGCAUCCCUGGAGUCCCGGCCCACAGAGACAGAAACCUGCAGCUCAGAGUGGAAAUCGAAGUCGCUGCAUAGAUGAGGGGAACAUGGUGUUGCCUGGAGAGUGAUCUACCCCAGCUGGGCCUCUGAUUUGCCAAGACAGGCAGGGAGGACGGCUACCUUUACCAGGUAAACACAGAAGUUCUGUGUGGGGUGACUCUGAGGAGCGGGAUGGAAGGCAGUGGCACUCGACUUCCGGUGCUGAACUUCACCAGUGCAGGUGACAUCCAUUUUCCACAGAGCAACCCUCUAAACACAGAAUGACCUUGGGGCAAAUUCCUUCAUCUGAAGGUGUCUCUAUAGCCAUUCAAAAGGUUUGCUUUCUCUUUAUUUUAGUUCCUAAUGUUAAACAGAAAGUUUCUGGCAAUAAAGAAUUUCUAAAACA